UACAGAGGUCUCAAGCGUUGUUCGGAUUCAUUGGGCGUAAAGGGUGCGUAGGCGGCGCGGUAAGUCUGGUGUGAAAUCUAGGAGCUCAACUCCUAAACUGCACUGGAUACUGCUCUGCUGGAGGACUGGAGAGGAGACUGGAAUUCACGGUGUAGCAGUGAAAUGCGUAGAUAUCGUGAGGAAGACCAGUGGCGAAGGCGGGUCUCUGGACAGUUCCUGACGCUGAGGCGCGAAGGCCAGGGGAGCAAACGGG
rnacentral:rRNA from 1 species